AGAGUUAAACAGUACGUGAAAUUGUUGAAAGGGAAACGAUUAAAGUCAGUCGUACCGAUGGGUAUUCAGCUCCUUGAGUGCGAUCAUGUUGGGUGUUGGGGAGCUUAACCGCCCUCGCGCUUGCGUAUUUGUGCUCUUAGAGUGUACUUGCCCGUAUGGUAGGUUAACAUCAAUUCUGAUUAUCAUAAAAUGACGGGAGAAAUGUAGCUUCGAUCUCGUAUUGAAGUGUUAUAGCCUCUGGUAGAUGUGAUGAUCGGGAUUGAGGAUUGCAACGAACCCUUCGGGGCCACCUGUCUGGCCUCUGGUGGUCGCUCUGGUGCCGAAAGCGUGCUUACGGUUAUCAAAGUUGGUUGCCAAAAGGUUAGAACGGGUUGAUUUCGUUAAGGAUGUUGACGUAAUGGCUUUAAACGACC
rnacentral:rRNA from 1 species